rnacentral:lncRNA from 1 species
ACUGGACCUGUAUAAAAAAAGUAAUAAUUAUAGUCACUAGAUUUAUAUCCAAAAUAAAUAGUUAUAUAACUUAAAAUAUAAAAUAAAUCCGCAAAGAAAAAUAUAUAUAAAAAUAAUUAAAUUAAAAAAUCAAAAAUAAUAAAAUCUUUGAUUAUGACUGAUCAUUUGUUUUGCUUAAACUUAUAACCUCUUAUGUAAUUGUAAUAUUAGGGAAGAUAUUUUAAAAAAAAAGAUCUUCGUAUUAAUUUUGUUUACAAAGACAUGUGGAAAAACAUAAGAACAAAAUAAAUACAAAUGAACUGAAAAUAAAUCAACAACUUUCCGGUCCACUCAGAACGGGUUAGUCGAAACCCUAAUUCAAAAUACAAAGGAAAAAAACAGAUUAGCCGCCACCAG